UCCAUUUAAACACUAGCUGAUAAUAAUAUCCACCAUACAUUACAACAACACCACCCAAUGCCAAUACUAAAGCAUACAGAAAAGAACAAUAACAAAUCAAACCAGAAAAAGGAAAACUACAAUCCAAUACCCUGUCUCCAAUUUCACACUUUCAAAAAUCUAAGCUAAAACUCCGCUACACGAAAUAAAAUACGAAAGUGAUUCACCAUCGAAGGAUCUUCAUUGUUACGCGAAUCGUUGAUUUCGGGUUACACGGUAACCGUUAUUGCAAUCAGUUGGUGUGUUGGGGAUUCCGGAAGGUAGUCGAGAACACAUACAAGACACUUUAAAGUUGCUUAUUGAUCGUUGUGCUCAUCAUCAGGUAA